CCAUCAAAGGCCACCUAAUAUGCGAAAGAGACAUGACCAUCACAUUGUUCAUCAUUUGAAGAGAGCAAAUUAAUUUUAUUAAACUCGACUGAUUAACCUUACGCAUACAAAGAGUUCAAUAUUAAAUUCAUAGGUUUUCCAAUUCGAUUAUAAACCAUAUCAUUACAUCUACAACCCCUUUUUCAUAUAUAAAAACUUAUGUCAACCUGGACAUGAUUAAGCUGAAACAUCCCUUAAAAUCAAUGAAUCACAUCCCAUCCCAAGCAAACACCUACCCAUUUUCCAUACUAGAUCCAAUGGUACACUACAGCAAACUGAAGAAUCCUUACUUAACACAUGACUAGUGAUUCAAAAUAGCUUUGAAUUAGUCGAAUUAACAGCAUAUGGACUCAAUCCUUAAACAAAAAAAAGCAGGACGAAUAGAAGAAAGUAAACAAACUAGUAAGUUAUGUUAUGAAUACAAUUACUACUCAAGUAGAACAUAACCAAAUCCUAAGGUAAAUACAAAUUAUUUUCGAAGAAAAACAUGAAUCAGAAAGAACAGUAAGCAGACUAAAACGUAUAUGAAUAUCAAGGUAGUUUAUUCCAUUUCAACUUCCAACUUUGCAUAUUCACAUUGUUUAAAUUUCAUAGAUGCAUACCUAGAUAAAAAACAAAGGAAAAGGUGAGGAAUGCAGCAGUAAUAGCAGAGAUGAACCCAGAUUCAGCAAAUUAGAGUAGGGAACUCAACUCAAACCCAAAAAAUAUUGUAAUAUUCAACCAGAUUGAACCAAAAAACUUUCAGAAAACCCAAUAUCAAUGCAUACUUAUUCUCAAAUGAACCAGAAAAUAUUUCAGGACUUCAAAAUUUCAAAACUCAGUAAAGAAAUCAAUGAAACAGUAAUCCUUUUAGCCGUUUAGCCGUCUGAAGUUUUUGGAUAUUUUUUUAGCUUUCAAGUCUUAAAAUCAAGCCAUCUCAGCUCUCAGAUAAGUCUGAAUUCACUUCAGGAGUUAGAAAUCUAAGAAAUCAUCAAGGAAACUCAAUGAAAUAGUAAUUUUCAGCUAUUUUUGUGUUUUUUGAUUUUUUCUCUAUUUUCCUUCACCUCACAGAACCUCUUUUAGCUUAUGUUUUCAUGUCUUUUAUAGGCUGAAUAUUAGGAAAAUAUUCAGAAUUUGUUUUUUUCUUAUAGUCCCUUAUUUUAUGACUUGCCAACCAAGUUAUAUCUAAUGUUUUCUAGAAAACCCCUACUAGAGGUUUCUGAAAUUGUUACUAAAGAUUCCCUGGUCAUAUUACUUAUGCUACCCUCCCUUAGGUAUUUACAUUAUACUCAAAUUGGUUGGGUCAAUUUGACUCAAGGUUCCAAUUCAAAUCUUGGCUUUUAACCCUUUGAAGUGACCCUUACCUUUAGGCUUCCAAGAUAAACCUGGGUUUCACAAUUCAAAACCAAACACAAGAUAGAAUCUUAACCAAGUCACCCAAAUAUUUUAAAAUCAAAUUGAAUGGCCCAUGAAUUAAACCCCUAAAUCAAACCCCUGAAUAGACCAGAAUUAAGAGAAAACCUAGCAAACUAAACAUAGUUAAAGUGACGACCAGUUCAUGUGAAAUGAAAUCAUGUAGAUGCAAUUCUAAUGAAGAGACGAUUAACAAGCAUAAAACAAUCAAAAUGAUAAAAAGAAACAUGCAACACCAGAAAGAGGAUGAACAGAAAUACCUAAAAAUGAGAGCUAACUUUCAUAUUUACCUAGAAGUCUCGAUUCUGAACCAAAAAGGGCCUCGCUCAUAUGUUCUCAAACGAAAACAGAUGACCAAGGCUCAUUUUCGCCUUAAUCAACCCAAACCUUGGCCCUGACACCCUACAGCCUUGCUUUCAAAAGUAAAUGCGACCAAUUCUAGGGCUUUUUGAUGGGAACGGGCUAUGGAUUUGGAAAAAGGGAGGUUAGGGGUUUUUUUGGUGUUAAUGUGGUAUUGAUUAGAGGUGAUGUCGCCGGACACGGCGGAGGAGUCAGUGGCAGCGCCCUAAGGUUUGAGGAUUUUGUUCGGUUUCUGGGGAGAUUCGAGGGAGAAGAACGGUGGAAUGGGUAUGAGGGGACGAAGGCAGAGCUCUGGUGCAAAAAAUGGUGGUCAUCAGAGACCUACCGCCGUCGUGGGAUAUUUUCGACGGGCGGCAGGAGGUGGUCUCAUGGUGACGUUACAUCUGGUCUCUGAGAGAGAAGAGUGG
rnacentral:lncRNA from 1 species